AUCUCUGGUUUUUUAUUUGAAUGAGGGACCUUGGCCCCGCCUCCUGCCGUGAAAAAGAGAUGGUCUGAAGUGGUGGCGCUGCGCCUCUGAGUUGCAGUGCGAUGUGUGUUUUUCAGUGGAGCUUCCUCAAUCAGAAAACUGCAAGCUAGAUUAAGCUGCUGCUAUAAAAAUGAACUGCUGCUGCAAAGGUGAAGAAGCACUGCUGGGGCGGUGUUCACAGGAACCACAAGCAGACACUAAGGUUCCAGUACGGCACACACCGGUGAUGAAAGAAUGGAGGCAGCAACAGUACUGGUGGCAGAGACAACACCAGUCGUGAAAAUCUGGAGCAGACGAAGCUACAGUGGCUCAGACAGCAGCCUGCACUCGCAAGCUCCGGGCUCCAGCUCAGACAGCUGGGCUCCGACAACAGAAGCCCUAGCUGCACACACCCUUGGCCUCUGCUUAAUGAUCCUGCUUCCCCAGUCUAGAAUCGGUAGUAGUUACUGCUCAUUCAGUAACCUUCCCUUCCUCUCCGGACUUUCCAACAGCUUCGACCAAUUCCUUCAUUUAAAUCUCUUCUGCUUGAAAUACCUAGAGUGUUUUGUUUUGU